rnacentral:rRNA from 1 species
GCAAUGACUGCUGCUGUACAUCACAUCAGGGCCGCUUUGGGGGGAGCAAAAAGGAUGAAACUCCUGACCAUGUGCUGUGGUUUUGAAGAUGCAGUUUCCAACCUUUUGGCUCGGCGGAUGCAGAUUUAAGCCAUUCAGCCUAUGUGGCAAUGGGACACAAUUUAGUGCAAAAUUGUUUUCUAUGUUUCUGUCCUUUCAUUCUCUUUCUGUGAAGGAAAAUAUGUUUGCGGGAAAGGAUUCAUCUCCUCAAACUCAAGGUUUGUAGCCGGUGAAGCCAGAUCAUCCUUGGGCUAAUUAAGGCUGAGUCUCCUGGUCAGGCAAUAACGUGCCAUUUCUUUUGGCACAGUUAUUUUUGCUCAUUUGGUUCAACACACAGGGAAGGGAAGUGGGUGCCAAAGAGAUGGUUAGGACAAGCUGUUUGUAUCUGGUCUUAAAUAGGAAACAGUUUCUCCAUCCUCGAUUUCUUUCUCACUUUAUUUGAGCUAUAUUAAGUGAAUGUUAUGCACAAGUUAUUUUCAGAAAGUGGUAAUUAUAUUAAAUUUUCUUCUUCCGGUAUUCUUUCAUUUUCUAAUGUAUUCAAAUGCUGGUAAGAUAUUGUCCAGACAAGAUGAUGAUAAAAUCUGAUCAUCUGUUACUGUUUAGUAAUGAAAGCAAAAUUGGAAGAUUGUGUAGCAACUUUAAAAAGGGUACUUUGACAGUUUUUAUUUUAUUGGAGUUGUUCUAGUCUAUUAUUUAACAAACCAUCUCUUUAUUGCUUAAAGAAGUGAUUGCAAUAUUUCACAAGGAGCUCAUUCUUCUUCCAUUUCUAUUCACUUGUGCAGCGUUCUUCUGAUAGCUUUGUGCUCUGCUUCUCAUGCUAAUUCCUUUUACAGCAGCUGCUGGAGAAUCUUAAUGAAAUUUGGCAUUUCAGCCCCCUUCACUGCCUGCCAUAUACAGUGCAGCAGCACAACCUGAUCGACCAUACACAUUACCACUUCAGCACAGGCUAGUGGUAAAGCUGGCCACUCGGCUCCUGAGCCUGCAAACCUUUCCUCUAAUAUCCUUUAUUUAGAUGUAUACCCCUUUUGAAGUCACUGUGUAUAAAGCAAAUACUAGAACAUCUUUUCAGGACCAAAUUGGUAUUGCUCCAGCAAUGGCCAAAGCUAAAUGUUUGUAGCAGAGGGAGAACAUGUAUAAGGCAGUUAAUUUAAUGAUGGUAGAAAAUUGUUGCAUUUUUUUUGACCAAAGAAAACCAUCAGUUUACUCUCCAGUGCUAUAAACUACUCUGACAUUUCAAAUCUAGUGAGCGAGACGGUGAAAACUAUAUUAAUACUCAUGAAAAUCAGCCCUGAUUUGAAACUCUUGGUGGGGAGUUCUGCAGGUUAGUUGAAUUAGAGUCUGUGUGUGCUGCUUUAACCUAUCAAUUUUUAUCUUUUAGUUUUAUUGAUAGAUCUUUUGCUUGUGUAAUCAGGAGAAAAUGAACAUGAGAGUCCAAACAGCUUUCUAAUUCUUCUUCUGCUGUCCAAUCAUCAGUGUUUUUUCAUUUCUCCUCUAUAAGGAAUGUGAUGAAACAGUUUUCCAUGUUCCUGAAAACACAUCCAGGCAAAUUUCAUUUAGGCUGCAAAGGUUUGUUAGGUCUAGCUCCAAGCCUGCUACUGCUUAACUGGGUGAAAAGAAAAUAUUCUUAUUUUCUUUACACUCAUGGAUACAUAUAAAAAUGUACAUGAAUAUGUAUGUUUUGUAGAGAUAAGAAAUUUUGGAAUUUUACAGUUGCUAAUUUAAGGUGUUGCAUCUAACUUAUAUUUGCUACACAGGCUCUCAAAGCAACUUUUACAGAGGUUAGAAAUGGAAGAUAAAGGAGUAUACUCUCUCAGUAUAUUCUGUCAUUGUCUCUGCAGGGCAGCUCUUCUAAAAGGGUUCCCCUUUUUAUAUCCCCUGGUCUAUACUGAAAAUCAGCCCUGAACCGAAGUUGGCAGUCAGUGGUUGAACAUGAAGAAAGCUGGGAGGUGGUAUUUCUUCAACUGCUUUUUUAAUUCUGAUCAUUUUUUUCACUGACCUGGUGAGGUGAGGGGCUGAGCCCUGAGGGACGCUCUCACUUUUGGUGCCCAGCGCCUGGUGCACACCGGGCAUGACCCGCUCUGGGAACAGCGGCAUGUGAGGAGUUUGACUGGGGUGGUACAGGUACAUCUCUCAAUGUGUAACACAGAUGUCCUCAGGAGAGCUCAGGGAGGAUGGAAACCUCCGACAGAGCAGGGGGGCAAAAGCUCGCUUAAUUCUUGAUUUUCAGUACAAAUAGAGGCCAUGAAAGCAGGACCUCGCGAUCGUCCUGGCUUCUGGGGUUUUAAACAAGAGGUGUCAGUAAAGUUCUCACAGGGAUAACUGUCUUGUAGUGGCCAAGCGUUCAUAGUGACAUCGCCGUUUGAUCCUUCGAUGUUGGCUCUUCCUAUCAUUGUGAAGCAGAAUUCAAGCAUUGGAUAGUUCACCCGCUAUUAGGAAACGUGAGCUGGGAUUAGGCCGUUGUGAAACAGGUUAGUUUUAUGCUACUAAUGAUGUGUUGUUGCAAUAGCAAUCCUGCUCAGUACGAGAGGAACUGCAGGUUCAAACCCUUGGUGUGAGGCUACCAUCUGCAGGGCUUAUGACUCAAUGCCUCUCAGUCAGAAUGCCUCCUAGACAUAGCAAUACCUCAGCACUGCUGGUGCCUGGAUGGGCUCACAAUAGCUGGCCACCCACCUCAUGAGGAGCCAGCCUGGUGCGGAGUGCUGCUCAGGACCAGAGGGGUGGGCAGAUACGGCACCACCUCUCCCCCACCACAUAUAAUUGUGGGGUACUUGGCAC